rnacentral:rRNA from 1 species
CUGCAGCCCGAGUGGUGAUCGAUUUUAUUGAGCCUAAAGCGUCCGUAGCCGGACUAGUAAACCCUUGGGUAAAUUGGGCAGCUUAACUGUCCAAAUUCCGAGGGGACUGCUAGUCUUGGGACCGGGAGAGGUCAGAGGUACUCCAGGGGUAGGGGCCAAAUCCUGUAAUCCUUGGGGGACCACCAGUGGCGAAGGCGUCUGACUAGAACGGAUCCGACGGUAAGGGACGAAACCCUGGGGCGCGAACCGGAUUAGAUACCCGAGUAGUCC